CCAGACUCCUACGGGAGGCAGCAGUGAGGAAUAUUGGUCAAUGGCCGAGAGGCUGAACCAGCCAAGUCGCGUGAGGGAAGACGGCCCUACGGGUUGUAAACCUCUUUUGUCGGGGAGCAAAGCGAACCACGUGUGGUUCAUUGAGAGUACCCGAAGAAAAAGCAUCGGCUAACUCCGUGCCAGCAGCCGCGGUAAUACGUAGGGGGCAAGCGUUAUCCGGAUUUACUGGGUGUAAAGGGGGCGCAGACGGCGAUGCAAGCCAGGAGUGAAAGCCCGGGGCCCAACCCCGGGACUGCUCUUGGAACUGCGUGGCUGGAGUGCAGGAGAGGUAAGUGGAAUUCCUAGUGUAGCGGUGAAAUGCGUAGAUAUUAGGAGGAACACCAGUGGCGAAGGCGGCUUACUGGACUGUAACUGACGUUGAGGCUCGAAAGCGUGGGGAGCAAACAGGAUUAGAUACCCUCGUA
rnacentral:rRNA from 1 species